GGAGAGGUGGCCGAGCGGCUGAAGGCAACUGCCUGCUAAGCAGUUGGGCGGGUUACCGUCCCCCGGGUUCGAAUCCCGGCCUCUCCG
rnacentral:tRNA from 1 species